rnacentral:rRNA from 1 species
AGAGUUUGAUCAUGGCUCAGAACGAACGCUGGCGGCAGGCUUAACACAUGCAAGUCGAACGCCCCGCAAGGGGAGUGGCAGACGGGUGAGUAACGCGUGGGAACGUGCCCUUCGCUUCGGAAUAGCCCCGGGAAACUGGGUGUAAUACCGAAUACGCCGUAUUGGGAAAGAUUUAUCGGCGAAGGAUCGGCCCGCGUUAGAUUAGGUAGUUGGUGGGGUAAUGGCCUACCAAGCCUACGAUCUAUAGCUGGUCUGAGAGGAUGAUCAGCCACACUGGGACUGAGACACGGCCCAGACUCCUACGGGAGGCAGCAGUGGGGAAUCUUGGACAAUGGGCGCAAGCCUGAUCCAGCCAUGCCGCGUGAGUGAAGAAGGCCUUAGGGUUGUAAAACUCUUUCGCCGGUGAAGAUAAUGACGGUAACCGGAGAAGAAGCCCCGGCUAACUUCGUGCCAGCCGCCGCGGUAAUAC